GGGGCUGAUUCUGGAUUCGACGGGAUUUGCGAAACCCAAGGUGCAUGCCGAGGGGCGGUUGGCCUCGUAAAAAGCCGCAAAAAAUAGUCGCAAACGACGAAAACUACGCUUUAGCAGCUUAAUAACCUGCUUAGAGCCCUCUCUCCCUAGCCUCCGCUCUUAGGACGGGGAUCAAGAGAGGUCAAACCCAAAAGAGAUCGCGUGCAAGCCCUGCCUGGGGUUGAAGCGUUAAAACUUAAUCAGGCUAGUUUGUUAGUGGCGUGUCCGUCCGCAGCUGGCAAGCGAAUGUAAAGACUGACUAAGCAUGUAGUACCGAGGAUGUAGGAAUUUCGGACGCGGGUUCAACUCCCGCCAGCUCCACCA
rnacentral:tmRNA from 1 species